rnacentral:rRNA from 1 species
AUUGAACGCUGGCGGCAGGCCUAACACAUGCAAGUCGAGCGGAUGAAGGGAGCUUGCUCCUGGAUUCAGCGGCGGACGGGUGAGUAAUGCCUAGGAAUCUGCCUGGUAGUGGGGGAUAACGUCCGGAAACGGGCGCUAAUACCGCAUACGUCCUGAGGGAGAAAGUGGGGGAUCUUCGGACCUCACGCUAUCAGAUGAGCCUAGGUCGGAUUAGCUAGUUGGUGGGGUAAAGGCCUACCAAGGCGACGAUCCGUAACUGGUCUGAGAGGAUGAUCAGUCACACUGGAACUGAGACACGGUCCAGACUACUACGGGAGGCAGCAGUGGGGAAUAUUGGACAAUGGGCGAAAGCAUGAUCCAGCCAGGCCGAGUGUGUGAAGAAGGUCUUCGGAUUGUAAAGAACUUUAAGUUGGGAGGAAGGGCAGUAAGUUAAUACCUUGCUGUUUUGACGUUACCAACAGAAUAAGCACCGGCUAACUUCGUG